GCAGGGUUUCCCGAACUUUGGUCUCCAGCUGCUGUUGGACUACAACUCCCAUCAUCCCUAGCUAGCAGGGAUGAUGGGAACUGUAGUCCAAAAACAGCUGGAGACCUGAGUUUGGGAAACCCUGC